rnacentral:rRNA from 1 species
AUGCAGUUUGAGCUCGAGGCCACGCUCUCCACGCCCCUCGUCUUCAGCGCCCCGAGCCCACCCCUCGCCUAUCAAGCGCAGCCUUCUUCCUCGACUCUGGAGGUGCAGCUGGGCGCGGUCACUCGACGCGUCAGUGACAUGGUGAUCGCACCGGAAGACGCCGCCCCGGAUCACGGCCUUUUCACCGAGCCGCCGCCACCGAUCAUCAAGAGUCCCCCUCCGCGCAAGUCUCCACCCAAGUCUCAGGCAAGAGCCCCCUCUGCUCCUGUGCGUCAGAGCGCCAGGCAGGUGAUGAUGAACUGCUCGGUCCCGGUGGCCGAGCGUGCCGCGUUCCGCAUCGUCCGGGAGCUGGGCUUGCUGGGGCCGAAGGACAAGAUGACUGUGCAGGCUGCUGAAGCGCUCAUCCGCCGUUUCAAGGAGCCCUUGACCGUCGACGACAUCGCCUGCAUUGCCAAGCUCACUCGCCUGCACGAGGCGGCCCUCCUUGUUGCUGCAGGCCUCGCCGGACCUGACGGAGCUGCCAUUGAUGGCCAGUAG